GGGAAACUGCCUGAUGGAGGGGGAUAACUACUGGAAACGGUAGCUAAUACCGCAUAAUGUCGCAAGACCAAAGAGGGGGACCUUCGGGCCUCUUGCCAUCGGAUGUGCCCAGAUGGGAUUAGCUUGUUGGUGGGGUAACGGCUCACCAAGGCGACGAUCCCUAGCUGGUCUGAGAGGAUGACCAGCCACACUGGAACUGAGACACGGUCCAGACUCCUACGGGAGGCAGCAGUGGGGAAUAUUGCACAAUGGGCGCAAGCCUGAUGCAGCCAUGCCGCGUGUAUGAAGAAGGCCUUCGGGUUGUAAAGUACUUUCAGCGGGGAGGAAGGGAGUAAAGUUAAUACCUUUACUCAUUGACGUUACCCGCAGAAGAAGCACCGGCUAACUCCGUGCCAGCAGCCGCGGUAAUACGGAGGGUGCAAGCGUUAAUCGGAAUUACUGGGCGUAAAGCGCACGCAGGCGGUUUGUUAAGUCAGAUGUGAAAUCCCCGGGCUCAACCUGGGAACUGCAUCUGAUACUGGCAAGCUUGAGUCUCGUAGAGGGGGGUAGAAUUCCAGGUGUAGCGGUGAAAUGCGUAGAGAUCUGGAGGAAUACCGGUGGCGAAGGCGGCCCCCUGGACGAAGACUGACGCUCAGGUGCGAAAGCGUGGGGAGCAAACAGGAUUAGAUACCCUGGUAGUCCACGCCGUAAACGAUGUCGACUUGGAGGUUGUGCCCUUGAGGCGUGGCUUCCGGAGCUAACGCGUUAAGUCGACCGCCUGGGGAGUACGGCCGCAAGGUUAAAACUCAAAUGAAUUGACGGGGGCCCGCACAAGCGGUGGAGCAUGUGGUUUAAUUCGAUGCAACGCGAAGAACCUUACCUGGUCUUGACAUCCACGGAAGUUUUCAGAGAUGAGAAUGUGCCUUCGGGAACCGUGAGACAGGUGCUGCAUGGCUGUCGUCAGCUCGUGUUGUGAAAUGUUGGGUUAAGUCCCGCAACGAGCGCAACCCUUAUCCUUUGUUGCCAGCGGUCCGGCCGGGAACUCAAAGGAGACUGCCAGUGAUAAACUGGAGGAAGGUGGGGAUGACGUCAAGUCAUCAUGGCCCUUACGACCAGGGCUACACACGUGCUACAAUGGCGCAUACAAAGAGAAGCGACCUCGCGAGAGCAAGCGGACCUCAUAAAGUGCGUCGUAGUCCGGAUUGGAGUCUGCAACUCGACUCCAUGAAGUCGGAAUCGCUAGUAAUCGUGGAUCAGAAUGCCACGGUGAAUACGUUCCCGGGCCUUGUACACACCGCCCGUCACACCAUGGGAGUGGGUUGCAAAAGAAGUAGGUAGCUUAACCUUCGGGAGGGCGCUUACCACUUUGUGAUUCAUGACUGGGGUGAAGUCGUAACAAGGUAACCGUAGGGGAACCUGCGGUUGGAUCACCUCCUUA
rnacentral:rRNA from 1 species